CCUUCGAUAGCUCAGUUGGUAGAGCGGAGGACUGUAGAGGUACUGCGAAGUGAUCCUUAGGUCGCUGGUUCGAAUCCGGCUCGAAGGA
rnacentral:tRNA from 1 species